rnacentral:rRNA from 1 species
CUACCAUGCAGUCGGGCGAAGAAGCUCCUCCGGGAGUGGAUUAGCGGCGGACGGGUGAGUAACAGGGGCAACCUGCCUCAAAGAGGGGGAUAGCCUCCCGAAAGGGAGAUUAAUACCGCAUAAAAGGUAAAUAUCGCAUGGUAAAUACCUUAAAGGAGAAAUCCGCUUUGAGAUGGGCCCGCGUCGCAUUAGCUAGUUGGUGGGAUAACAGCCCACCAAGGCGACGAUGCGUAGCCGACCUGAGAGGGUGAACGGCCACAUUGGAACUGAGAGACGGUCCAGACUCCUACGGGAGGCAGCAGUGGGGAAUAUUGCACAAUGGGCGAAAGCCUGAUGCAGCAACGCCGCGUGAGUGAAGAAGGUUUUCGGAUCGUAAAGCUCUGUCAUCCGGGACGAUAAUGACGGUACCGGAAGAGGAAGCCACGGCUAACUAUGUGCCAGCAGCCGCGGUAAUACGUAGGUGGCGAGCGUUGUCCGGAUUUACUGGGCGUAAAGGAUGCGUAGGCGGAUAUUUAAGUCAGAUGUGAAAUACCCGAGCUUAACUUGGGUGCUGCAUUUGAAACUGGGUAUCUAGAGUGCAGGAGAGGCAAGUGGAAUUCCUAGUGUAGCGGUGAAAUGCGUAGAGAUUAGGAAGAACACCAGUGGCGAAGGCGACUUACUGGACUGUAACUGACGCUGAGGCAUGAAAGCGUGGGUAGCAAACAGGAUUAGAUACCCUGGUAGUCCACGCCGUAAACGA